rnacentral:rRNA from 1 species
AGCCGCGGUAAUACAGAGGGUGCAAGCGUUAAUCGGAUUUACUGGGCGUAAAGCGCGCGUAGGCGGCUAAUUAAGUCAAAUGUGAAAUCCCCGAGCUUAACUUGGGAAUUGCAUUCGAUACUGGUUAGCUAGAGUGUGGGAGAGGAUGGUAGAAUUCCAGGUGUAGCGGUGAAAUGCGUAGAGAUCUGGAGGAAUACCGAUGGCGAAGGCAGCCAUCUGGCCUAACACUGACGCUGAGGUGCGAAAGCAUGGGGAGCAAACAGGAUUAGAUACCCUGGUAGUCCAUGCCGUAAACGAUGUCUACUAGCCGUUGGGGCCUUUGAGGCUUUAGUGGCGCAGCUAACGCGAUAAGUAGACCGCCUGGGGAGUACGGUCGCAAGACUAAAACUCAAAUGAAUUGACGGGGGCCCGCACAAGCGGUGGAGCAUGUGGUUUAAUUCGAUGCAACGCGAAGAACCUUACCUGGCCUUGACAUAGUAAGAACUUUCCAGAGAUGGAUUGGUGCCUUCGGGAACUUACAUACAGGUGCUGCAUGGCUGUCGUCAGCUCGUGUCGUGAGAUGUUGGGUUAAGUCCCGCAACGAGCGCAACCCUUUUCCUUAUUUGCCAGCGAGUAAUGUCGGGAACUUUAAGGAUACUGCCAGUGACAAACUGGAGGAAGGCGGGGACGACGUCAAGUCAUCAUGGCCCUUACGGCCAGGGCUACACACGUGCUACAAUGGUCGGUACAAAGGGUUGCUACCUAGCGAUAGGAUGCUAAUCUCAAAAAGCCGAUCGUAGUCCGGAUUGGAGUCUGCAACUCGACUCCAUGAAGUCGGAAUCGNUAGUA